rnacentral:lncRNA from 1 species
GAUUAGUUAAUAACAAAUUUGUCAUUCCAAAUAUAAAAUAUACAACAUUUGCCCCUAAAAUUGAUCCUUAUCUUCCUUCACUGUAUUAUCACUAGUAUUUUUGGCUCCAUGAACUACAAAGUUUCCAACUCAGCAUUUAUGAGAAAAAUUAUUGUAAUGUACCAGAUUUUAAUAUAAAAAUUAAGUGUAAAUAAAAAUAGUGGAAGAUACUAUUUUUAUUGGACUUAAACAAGUAAAAUAUAGGUCGGAAAUGACUUGUACUGAAAUCGGAAUGAAAAUAGAAGAUUUAGAAUUUUCUGUAUAGAACGGGGCUAAUAUUUUAGCAGAAAAUGCAUAAUGUCAGAAAAUUAUGAAAACUGGAGAGUAUGUCAGAAUUAUUUUUAUGAGGAUAGAUUUAAAGUUUCAUAUCAUUCCGAUACCCGGAAAGUGAAAAAUAAAAUCCGACUGCUAUCUGCUAGAGAUUACAGUUCGGUAGAGUUUUCGGUGACCAAAAAUAGUCGAAACUAAGAAGUUAAGAUAUCGUUCACUUUAUUAGCCUAAACCAAGCUUGACUGUCAAAUUUGAGCGCAAACGGACAUUCAGAAGGGUUCCGGCGAAAAGGAACAAAUUCUGAGCUCCUAAAUGAAAGUUGUGUAUUGUUGAGGGGCUAUUUUAUAAAAGGGAUUUUGAU